AGAAUCAACGCUGGCGGCGUGCCUAACACAUGCAAGUCGAAUGAGAAAGUCCGCAAGGAUGAGUAAAGUGGCGACCGGGUGAGUAACACGUGACUAACCUACCUUUUAGUGGGGGAUAACUCCGGGAAACCGGGGCUAAUACCGCAUAACAUCGCAAGAUCAAAGCAGCAAUGCGCUGGAAGAGGGGGUCGCGGCUGAUUAGCUAGUUGGCGGGGUAAUGGCCCACCAAGGCGAAGAUUGGUAUCCGGCCUGAGAGGGCGCACGGACACACUGGAACUGAAACACGGUCCAGACUCCUACGGGAGGCAGCAGUGGGGAAUUUUGCGCAAUGGGGGAAACCCUGACGCAGCAACGCCGCGUGGAGGAUGAAGUCCCUUGGGACGUAAACUCCUUUCGACCAAGACGAUAAUGACGGUACUGGUGGAAGAAGCACCGGCUAACUCUGCGCCAGCAGCCGC
rnacentral:rRNA from 1 species